CACUCAGGUAUGAAAGGCAAUUUCUAAAAUCCACCCCCCUGCAUAAAGAAGUCUUCCUCAACCACCAGAGUCUCAGAGACCUUUCUCCAGCUGAUGACAGAAGAGGGAGUCAGAGCAACCUGAAGCAUGAGAAGGACUCACUGCUAGGAGCAUGGAAGGAGCCACUUAGGGUGGAACGCAGAUGGGAAGACCAGCCGCCUACUGAUGCCAGUAAGGAAAUGGGGACCUCUCUACUACAACUGCAAAGAACUGAAUUUUGCCAAUAAUAGGAAUGAUGAGGAUUCCUGUUCUCAUCUUGGCAUCCAGGUAACAAAGCCAGCCAAUACCCUGCAUGCAGCCUUGUGAGACCCUGAGCAGAGAACCCAGCCAUGUCAUCCCAGACUUCUAAUUUAUGGAACUAAUGAGUAAUAAAUGGGAUUUUUAAAGCUGCUAA